GACCAUUUCAAAAGACCUUCUGGACUUUUCAAUGCACUGAAAACAGCAGAAUGUGGAUCACAUACAGUUAGCCACAAAGCAUCUUGGGGAACCUUCAUUUGACAAAGAGUUUGGAGAAGGAAAUAGACAAACAAGCUCCGCCAAGGGGGUUAGUCAAGUCAGACGUCAUCACACAAAUUCCAGUACAACACUGGUUAGCUGUUUUCAACUUUUACAGCUAAAAGAUUUGUGCUUCGUUUAUGAAAAAAAAUUAUAAUCUAGGAUCGUCCUCAAGCUAUUUUCAAAACAAAAUAUAAUACAAAAUUCAGUUCAAAUAA